AUGGCCGCGGCCACCUCCCCUCCCAGGGCGGAGAGGAAGCGCUGGGGCGGCGGCCGCUUGCCGGGAGCCCGGCGGGGCAGCGCGGGCCUGGCCAAGAAGUGCCCCUUCUCGCUGGAGCUGGCCGAGGGCAGCCCCGCAGGCAGCGCGCUCUACGCGCCCAUCGCCCCGCCUGGCGCCCCGGGCCCCGCGCCCCCCGCCGCCGCCGCCGACCUCGGCCCGCGGCCGCCCGUGAGCCUGGACCCGCGCGUCUCCAUCUACAGCGCGCGCCGCCCGCUGCUCGCCCGCACUCACGUCCAGGGCCGCGUGUACAACUUCCUCGAGCGCCCCACCGGCUGGAAGUGCUUCGUCUACCACUUCGCAGUCUUCCUCAUUGUCCUGGUCUGCCUCAUCUUCAGCGUGCUGUCCACCAUCGAGCAGUAUGUUGCCCUGGCCACAGGGACCCUCUUCUGGAUGGAGAUCGUCCUGGUCGUGUUCUUCGGGACGGAGUAUGUGGUCCGCCUCUGGUCGGCUGGCUGCCGCAGCAAGUACGUGGGCAUCUGGGGCCGGCUGCGCUUUGCCCGGAAGCCCAUUUCCAUCAUUGACCUCAUCGUGGUGGUGGCCUCCAUGGUGGUCCUCUGCGUGGGCUCCAAAGGGCAGGUGUUUGCCACCUCGGCCAUCAGGGGCAUCCGCUUCCUGCAGAUCCUGCGGAUGCUGCACGUCGACCGCCAGGGGGGCACCUGGAGGCUGCUGGGCUCCGUGGUCUUCAUCCACCGCCAGGAGCUCAUCACCACCCUGUACAUCGGCUUCCUGGGCCUCAUCUUCUCAUCCUACUUCGUGUACCUGGCCGAGAAGGAUGCUGUCAACGAGUCGGGCCAGGUUGAGUUCGGCAGCUACGCGGAUGCCCUGUGGUGGGGAGUGGUCACGGUCACCACCAUCGGCUACGGGGACAAGGUGCCGCAGACGUGGGUGGGGAAGACCAUCGCCUCCUGCUUCUCCGUCUUCGCCAUCUCCUUCUUUGCGCUCCCGGCGGGGAUUCUCGGCUCCGGCUUCGCCCUGAAGGUCCAGCAGAAGCAGAGACAGAAGCACUUCAACAGGCAGAUCCCGGCGGCAGCCUCGCUCAUCCAGACAGCCUGGCGGUGCUACGCAGCGGAGAACCCAGAUUCCUCCACCUGGAAGAUCUAUGUCCGGAAGCCAUCCCGGAACCACGCCCUGCUGUCCCCCAGCCCCAAGCCCAAGAAGUCAGCCAUGGUAAAGAAGAAAAAGUUCAAACUGGACAAGGACAAUGGUGUGAGCCCAGGAGAGAAGGCACUUUCGGUCCCCCACAUCACCUGCGAGCCCGUGUUGGAGGACCGCAGGCCCGAACCCAUCUCGGUAGACGGCUACGACAGCGCUGUGAAAAAGAGUCCCACGCUGCUGGAAGUGAGCACGGCCCAUUUCAUGAGAACCAACAGCUUUGCUGAGGACCUGGACCUGGAUGGGGAGGCGCUGCUGACCCCCAUCACCCACGUGUCACAGCUGCGAGAGCACCACCGGGCCACCAUCAAGGUCAUCCGGCGCAUGCAGUACUUCGUGGCCAAGAAGAAAUUCCAGCAAGCGCGGAAGCCCUACGACGUGCGAGACGUCAUCGAGCAGUACUCCCAGGGCCACCUCAACCUCAUGGUGCGCAUCAAGGAGCUGCAGAGGAGGUGGGCGCGCCGGGCCGGGGGCGAGGCGGGGCGUGGGCAUCGCGGGGCGGGGCGGGGAUGGCAGGGGGCGGGGCGUGGGCAGUGUGGGGCGGGGCGUGGAUGGCAGGGGCGGGGCGUGGGGGCUCGCUCCACCUGCACCCAAAUCUCGGGGUGCGGACACUUCAGAUCCGAGCUCACCCGCUGUUGAGCAGGCCCAGGUCAAGUCCCGGGAGAUACACGACAGGGGGAGACCCUACCGGUUGGGCGCUGAGCACCCCAACUCUUGGAAGCCGACGUGUUCUGGCUUCUGGUCCAUAGUCUGGAGAGCUUGUACUCCCGGAGGCCGCCUGCUCCUUAGGGGCCUGCGAGGGCUCAGACCAGCUGCACAUGGGCGGUGGGUUGGCCUGGGGACCGAGCUCUGUGAGGCACGGGUGUGGCUGGGAGACCACCCAUGUUGGCCACCCCGGCCGGGCAGGGACUCGGGCUGCCCCAGAUCACCCUGCCCCUGUCACUGACCUACAACAGGGAUGUGAGGCCCAUCCAGCCCAGCGACCUGGCCUUGUCCUGGAAGGGACCUCUUGCAGUCCUGCCUCUCUGGACACGUCCAGGCACCUGGCCUGGGGCAUUUAUGAAGCGGCCACAGGACACUGGGCAAUUCUGGGGUCCUGCUGUACCCAGGGAGGAUGACAAAGGGGACAGUCCAACCACUGCCCUUCACCUCUGAACCCCCCACCCAGGCUCCCCAUGGGAAUGUGGGCCUCUGGAAUCUGAGAGGCACCUGGCUGGUGUUGGGGUGGUGGCAGGGGGCGGCCCCCAGAAGGGGCGGGCAGCUUGUCUCGCUGGGGACGUUGGCCCAUCCGCCCACUGAUCGGGCAGAUGUCAGUGUGGUGCCCAGGGGCCGAGAAUGAGCUGGUCUCCAUCUCCCUCUCCCCACCCCCCACCCAGGCUGGACCAGUCCAUCGGGAAGCCCUCCCUCUUCAUCUCCGUCUCAG
rnacentral:lncRNA from 1 species